GAGUUUGAUCAUGGCUCAGAACGAACGCUGGCGGCAUGCCUAACACAUGCAAGUCGAACGAAGUCUUCGGACUUAGUGGCGCACGGGUGCGUAACGCGUGGGAAUCUGCCCUUGGGUACGGAAUAACUCAGAGAAAUUUGUGCUAAUACCGUAUAAUGUCUUCGGACCAAAGAUUUAUCGCCCAAGGAUGAGCCCGCGUAAGAUUAGCUAGUUGGUGAGGUAAGAGCUCACCAAGGCGACGAUCUUUAGCUGGUCUGAGAGGAUGAUCAGCCACACUGGGACUGAGACACGGCCCAGACUCCUACGGGAGGCAGCAGUGGGGAAUAUUGGACAAUGGGCGAAAGCCUGAUCCAGCAAUGCCGCGUGAGUGAUGAAGGCCUUAGGGUUGUAAAGCUCUUUUACCCGGGAUGAUAAUGACAGUACCGUGGAGAA
rnacentral:rRNA from 1 species